rnacentral:rRNA from 1 species
AUUGAACGCUGGCGGCAGGCCUAACACAUGCAAGUCGAGCGAGCGGCGGACGGGUGAGUAAUGUCUGGGAAACUGCCUGAUGGAGGGGGAUAUCUACUGGAAACGGUAGCUAAUACCGCAUACCAUCAGAUGUGCCCCGAUGGGGUUAGCUAGUAGGGGGGGUAACGGCGCACCUAGGCGACGCUCCCUAGCUGGUCGUAGAGGGUGACCAGCCACACUGGAACUGAGACACGGUCCAGACCCCUACGGGAGGCAGCAGUGGGGAAGAUUGCACAAGGGGCGCAAGCCUGAUGCAGCCAUGCCGCGUGUGUGAAGAAGGCCUUCGGGUUGUAAAGCACUUUCAGCGGGGAGGCGUUACCCGCAGAAGAAGCACCGGCUAACUCCGUGCCAGCCGCCGCGGUAAUUC